rnacentral:rRNA from 1 species
UAGCAUAUCAAUAAGCGGAGGAAAAGAAACUAACAAGGAUUCCCCUAGUAACGGCGAGUGAAGAGGGAAGAGCUCAAAGUUGGAACCGAGUCGCUUUAAGUGAUUUCGGGUUGUAAGCUAGAGAAGCGUUUUCCAGGCGAGCUGGGUAUGUAAGUCCCUUGGAAUAGGGCAUCAUAGAGGGUGAGAAUCCCGUAUGCCUACCCAAGCUAAUAUCGCCUUGUUGUGAUACGCUUUCAAAGAGUCAGGUUGUUUGGGAAUGCAGCCUAAAAUGGGUGGUAAAUCUCAUCUAAAGCUAAAUAUUGGCGAGAGACCGAUAGCGAACAAGUACCGUGAGGGAAAGAUGAAAAGAACUUUGAAAAGAGAGUUAAACAGUAUGUGAAAUUGCUGAAAGGGAACCGUUUGAAGUUAGACUGGCUGGUCUAUAAUCAAUCCUGGCUUUGGUUAGGAUGCACUUGUAGGCCAUUUUGCCUGCCAACGACAGUUUUUUGGGUAGGAAAAAAGUACUGAGAAGGUAGCCUCGUUUUCGGAUGAGGUGUUAUAGCUCGGUACAAAAUACUAUCCGAGAGACUGAGGAAUGCAGCGAACGCUUAUAGGCAGAGCUGCAGGUCGCUUGGUCAAAUCUAGGCUGGAAUUUCUUACCUCGGGUAGUGCCAGUCUUUACUAGAUCAACUCGGCUUGUAGACUUCUAGUUUCGCUUAGGUCGUUGGCUUAAUGACUUUAAAUGACCCGUCUUGAAACACGGACCAAGGAGUCCACCAUAGAUGCGAGUAUUUGGGUGGCAAACCCGCAUGCGAAAGGAAACUGAAUAGAUACGAAGCCUUGAGGCGGCAGUAUCAUCCGGCAAUGACGUUUUAUACAGACUUGACCGAGAUAAAGCAUCUAUGAUGGGACCCGAAAGAUGGUGAACUAUGCCUGAAUAGGGUGAAGCCAGAGGAAACUCUGGUGGAGGCUCGUAGCGAUUCUGACGUGCAAAUCGAUCGUCAAAUUUGGGUAUAGGGGCGAAAGACUAAUCGAACCAUCUAGUAGCUGGUUCUG